rnacentral:rRNA from 1 species
UACGGAGGGUGCAAGCGUUACUCGGAUUCACUGGGCGUAAAGGGAGCGCAGGCGGAUCGGUGUGUCGGAUGUGAAACCCCGGGGCUCAACCCCGGGACUGCGUCCGAAACUGCCGGUCUAGGGACUCGGAGGGGCUAGUGGAAUUCCUGGUGGAGCAGUGAAAUGCGUAGAUAUCAGGAGGAACACCAACGGCGAAGGCAGCUAGCUGGACGAGAUCCGACGCUCAGGCUCGAAAGUAUGGGGAGCAAAAAGG